rnacentral:rRNA from 1 species
CCUACGGGAGGCAGCAGUGAGGAAUAUUGGUCAAUGGACGAGAGCCUGAACCAGCCAAGUAGCGUGAAGGAUGACUGCCCUAUGGGUUGUAAACCUCUUUUAUACGGGAAUAAAGUGUUUUACGUGUGGGAUUUUGUAUGUACCAUAUGAAUAAGGAUCGGCUAACUCCGUGCCAGCAGCCGCGGUAAUACGGAGGGUCCGAGCGUUAUCCGGAUUUAUUGGGUUUAAAGGGAGCGUAGGCGGAUUGUUAAGUCAGUUGUGAAAGUUUGGGGCUCAACCGUGGAAUUGCAGUGGAAACUGGCAGGCUUGAGUACGGUAGAGGUAGGCGGAAUUCGUGGUGUAGCGGUGAAAUGCUUAGAUAUCACGAAGAACUCCGAUUGCGAAGGCAGCUCGCUGGACUGCAACUGACGCUGAGGCUCGAAAGUGUGGGUAUCAAACAGGAUUAGAUACCCGAGUAGUC